AUCAUACAACUAGAACGUUUUAAUCUUUUAAUAAUAAGUGAAAAUUAUCUGAAAGGCUAGGUCGUGCCGGGUAAAUUCAGACGAGUCAGCUGUCGGAAUGCACAGCCCGAUGUCCACAACGAAAACUGUUUGCAAUAUCAAAUAUUAAGUUUAAUAAGAAAAUGAAACUAUCAAGCUUGUUGAUUAUUUUACUGCUUCUACUACAACACAAUAAAGGUGCUCUGAUGGUUGAACCUAAUGAAGGCUUUUCAUCAGGUCGGAGUUCUAAAAAGGGUUCUCUAUGCCCUCCUGGCAGUACGUUUUCCACUUUCGGGUUCGCAGCGUUCAUCCUCAUAUCAAUCCAGACUGUUAUCAAUAUAGGGACACAAACAUCUUUUAACAAACAUACUCUUAGCAUUCUCAUUGCAGUACAAAAGUAACAA